UAAUACGUAGGGUGCGAGCGUUAAUCGGAAUUACUGGGCGUAAAGGGUGCGCAGGCGGUUCUGUAAGUCAGAUGUGAAAUCCCCGGGCUUAACCUGGGAACUGCGUUUGAAACUACAGAGCUAGAGUGUGGCAGAGGGGGGUGGAAUUCCAUGUGUAGCAGUGAAAUGCGUAGAGAUAUGGAAGAACAUCGAUGGCGAAGGCAGCCCCCUGGGUCAACACUGACGCUCAUGCACGAAAGCGUGGGGAGCAAACAGGAUUAGAUACCCUGGUAGUCCACGCCCUAAACUAUGUCAACUAGUUGUCGGGCCUUAUUAGGUUUGGUAACGUAGCUAACGCGUGAAGUUGACCGCCUGGGGAGUACGGUCGCAAGAUUAAAACUCAAAUGAAUUGACGG
rnacentral:rRNA from 1 species